CAGCUCCAUGAUGGGGGUCUUGGGGUCACCUUGUCCCCAAGGGGGGGGUCCCAACCCCAAGAUUGGGGUCCCAACGUCACCAUGUCCCCAUAAUGGGGGGGGGUCCCAACCCCAAGAUGGGGGUCCCACCUUCAGAAUGGGGGUCCCAUGGGGGUCCCAACCCCAAGAUGGGGUUCGCGCCACCUUGCAGAAAUGGGGGUCCCAUGGGGGUCCCAACCCCAAGACGGGGGUCCCAACCUUUCAAGAAGGGGGUCCAUGGGGGUCCCAACACCCAAAUGGGUCCCACCUUCAGAAUGGGGGUCCCAUGGGGGUCCAACCCCAAGAUGGGGG
rnacentral:lncRNA from 1 species